rnacentral:lncRNA from 1 species
GGCCCCCUCCUUCCCAGCCAUGCAGUUGAGAGGAAUUAACCUAACCGAAGUUUUCUGGGUGGAGUUUGGCAGGAGUCUCCAUUGCCAGUAAAAACCCGCUUGGCCACUUGUGUAGAAAGAGGAAUUAAUAUUUGAAUACUCAACUGACUGGUUCUUCUUGGGAGCAAGUAGCCAAGUAAAUACCCAAGGGAGAACAAGGGAAGGAACAAAAUGGCAGCAAGCCCAAAGGAGACAUGCCUCAAUCAUCCUGCAGCACCCUGGACGUGGCCAUGGGAUGACAUCCUCCCUCCAGUGCCCUGCCAUGGUACACAGAACGAGCCUCCGUGCGGGAGGAAGGAUACUGGCUGAUUUCGGCUGUGCCUGGUCCAAUCUUGGCUUACCUCAGACGGAGUUCUGGCUGCCUCACUUUCAAUAUGUUGCCGCCUUCCCUGAGAACUCAGAGAGGUCACAUCCACAUCAGGACUUCAGCGCCAGACCCUCCCACUGCCCACCCUUUGCUACCUUUUCUCUCACUUUGUACCGACUCCUCUUGCUAAUUCUCCUUUGUGUGUUUGGAGACCAUCUCUCACCACUUUCACUCAGAUGACCUACUAAACUACUUUCUCUGCUCAGGUUGUUAAACUAGAAGUUACAGUGGUCUUGAGUCUUGGUUAAGCUUGAUUAAGAUUAAGCUUUAAGUUCAUCAUAGUCUAUGCUGGUUUAAGUGAUGAAUACAGAUGUGCCCCCAGAGUGGCCAAGGGCUGUGCCACGAAAAUAAUAUGCUUUUCAGGAGCGCAUCUUCUCCCCCCUAAAUAUGUGAGGAUGUGUUUGCACCAAAGAUAGAGCAGGGUGUUCAGGGCACAGAUCUGAUGGGGAGGAUCAUGUUCAGGAAAACCACCUUUGGAGCAAACUCGCGAUUCUAUCCAGUUCUCCUUACACCUUGUUUCCUCACAAAAUUAGGCAAAUUCUAAUAGCUAUAGACUUUCGGUAAUUCCUUAGCCUUUCAGAUUUUGCCAUGUAACAGUGUGAUUUCUGCAUUAGCCUGAGUACAGUACUGCAUUCCCUUCUGAGCCUGAGGGGACACCCGUAUGAGUCUUAAAUUUCCAACAAGUGACACUUUGCCUGACUCUACUCUGUUAAAGGCUCUUUUGGAAAUCAAUUCUAUAACGUAGUGUAGUACGUUAUAGAAUUCUGGUAAUUAGGAGUUCCCACUGUGGCUCAGCACUAACGAACCCAACUAGUAUCCGUGAGGAUGAGAGUUCAAACCCUGGCCCGGCAUUGCUGUGAGCUGCAGUGUAGGUCAAAGACUGGGUUCGGAUUUGGCAUUGCCAUGGCUAUGGUGUAGACUGGCAGCUGCAGCUCCAAUUCAACCCCUAGCCUGAGAAUUUCCAUAUGCCACAGGUGCAGCCCUAAAAGACAAAAUAAUAAUAAUAAUAAUAAUAAUAAUAAUAAUAAUAAUAAUAAUAAUUCUGGUAACUAUAGAAUACUCAAAGAUAAAAUCCAAAAGCUACUAAAAUCUGCUCAGAGGACGUUAACACACAGAAAAAUCAGAGUGAGUUGUAUUUUUCUUCAAUCUAGCCCAAGGAUGGGCAAGAGGGUGUAGGAAU